rnacentral:tRNA from 3 species
CAGGGAGUAGUUUAAGAUUAGAAUUUCAGCUUUGGGUGUUGAAGGUAGAAUGGAGGAUUUCUUUCCCUGA